rnacentral:rRNA from 1 species
AGCCUUUCGAAAGAAAGAUUAAUACCCGAUGGCAUAAUGAUUCCGCAUGGUUUCAUUAUUAAAGGAUUCCGGUAAAGGAUGGGGAUGCGUUCCAUUAGGUUGUUGGUGAGGUAACGGCUCACCAAGCCUUCGAUGGAUAGGGGUUCUGAGAGGAAGGUCCCCCACAUUGGAACUGAGACACGGUCCAAACUCCUACGGGAGGCAGCAUG